rnacentral:rRNA from 1 species
AACGUAGGAGGCAAGCGUUAUCCGGAUUCACUGGGCGUAAAGCGCGCGUAGGCGGUUGGGUAAGUCGGAUGUGAAAGCCCCUGGCUCAACUGGGGGAGGUCAUUCGAUACUGCUCGGCUUGAGGAUGAGAGAGGAGAGCGGAAUUCCCGGUGUAGCGGUGGAAUGCGUAGAGAUCGGGAGGAACACCAGCGGCGAAAGCGGCUCUCUGGCUCAUAUCUGACGCUGAGGGCGCGACAGCGUGGGGAGCAAACGGG